rnacentral:rRNA from 1 species
CAGUCGCCGCGGUAAUACGAAGGGUGCAAGCGUUAAUCGGAAUUACUGGGCGUAAAGCGUGCGUAGGCGGUUUGUUAAGUCUGUUGUGAAAUCCCCGGGCUCAACCUGGGAAUGGCAAUGGAUACUGGCAAGCUAGAGUGUGUCAGAGGAUGGUGGAAUUCCCGGUGUAGCGGUGAAAUGCGUAGAGAUCGGGAGGAACAUCAGUGGCGAAGGCGGCCAUCUGGGACAACACUGACGCUGAGGCACGAAAGCGUGGGGAGCAAACAGGAUUAGAUACCCCAGUAGUCCCUGUCUCUUAUAC